rnacentral:lncRNA from 1 species
CCUCGGAGCUUUGCUGAAACUGCACAAAAAAAUCGAGCUGGGGGGUUCCCUGGUCCCUGAUGAUGGGGCGGGGAGCGCGGCGCCGGGGGAGGGGGCGGGCGCGGCAGCGCGGGCCCCGCCGAGGGGGGACACCUGGCUGAGCCACAGCCGCUGCCGCCGCGCCGCUCCGCGGGAACCAGGGCUCCGUUCCCUGCGCGGGCUCGAGAGCUCGCCCCGACCUGGGGGUCUUCCUUCUCUGCCGUUGACAGGUUUUGACCUUUAGGAGAGAGCCAAUUCUGGAGAACAACCUAACUUCUUUGAUUGAACAUUCACAUAAUGCAAUGGAACAUGAUAGGAGAUUAAGGUAUACUAAUGAAUUUUUAAAGCAUACGAUUUUAUAUCUUUGCAAUAUAAUUGAACUAGACAUUUGGUAAAGUUAGAACUUUUAGGUGAGCUAAAUUCAAUAAAGAUUUAUUGAUUAACAGAAGUUAUUCAGUGAAGUGGCCAAGGUUGAGCUUUUCUUGCUUUAUUAAAGCUUCAGAUUUUUUUAUGCAGUUGAUGUUCUUAUCCUGUAUGGGUCCAGCUCCAAAUGAGUUUAUUUAUUCUAAGAAUAAAUAUAUGUUAUGAGUUUUUUCUUAAGUUUGUUACUACAGUGUUAUAUGUUAAAUAAUUAAGUAGUAGAUUUUUCAUGUUAUAAAAUAGAUGGUUUAAAUCAAGUGAAAUUUGGUGCUUCAUUCUUUGAUAGAUAUAGUGGUAGAUAGAGCCUACGAAAUUUGAUAAGAUUAGUGAGAAUAUUUUAAGAGAACUUGAAAUAUUCCAAGUACUAUCCUAACCAAAACAGCAAUUUGGUUGAAACUGAAAAACGCACUUUCUAAAGCAGAAACCAGUAUCUUACUCAUAGGUACUCUGAGUAAAAUAUUUAAAUUGUUCAUAUCAAAAGUUGUAAACUCUUUAAAAAUAAACUGUAGAAUUCCAAAACUUCUAAUGACUUGUCUUUACCUCCAGAAUACUUCAUCACAGAAUCACUUUUCCAGCAUAUUUACUUUAAAAUAAAGUUUAUUUUAUAAUUUUAGUUGAAAAUUUCAGAUACUUAGCUAAUAAAAAUUUCAGCUGCUUUCUAAAUUGUAAUCUGGUGUAAUGAAAACUCAUUUAACAGUAUUACUAAGUAUUACUUGAUUAAUUUUUGAAUAGUAAAGUAUUAAUUACAUGAUAAAGUAUUAACUAAAUGUGUUUUUUAAAACUAUUUGCUAAAUAAAGUGAAUUUGACUAAAAUAUACUAUAAUUUUUUCUUUACAUUUUUUUACUAGCAUUUAUUUUAUAUACUUAAGAUAUAGGAAAUCACAAAGGUUUGUUUUCAUAAGAAAAGUGUAAUUUAGUCUUAAGAGUCAAGUGUAUUUAUCACUUUGGUCAUAGAAUUGCUUUUAUCUUUAAAUAGUGUUAAAGGAUUUUUUUUCCAGCAAAUUCUUAGAUGUGUGUUUAAGAAUGUUUGAACAUUGAGAUAUAUAUCAAAAUACUUAAAAAUCAGAUAUUUCUGUUAUUAGCUAUUAGAUAAUCUAGGAAUGUAAAUCUGUUAACAGUUAAGUAAAAUGUUAAAAUUUAAUAGAAAUCAGUUUUAUAUAAGUGAAGUUCAGAUAUUAGUGUCAUGAUACUGUAAGGCAGUUGUUUGAUACAAGCUAUAAAAAGUUUUCAUAACUUUGAUUUAAGAAUGUUACAGAAAGCAGCUUAGUUUGAAUAGGAUGAGAACAGAUACAAUUUUUUCUCUGUAAGUGAUAUUUUUCAGGUUAAAGAACAUUAAGGUGAAAAGUAAAAAAUAUGGUUUCUCAGUAUCUGGAAAAAAAAAAUCUAGGUUCAUUUUGUCACUUUCAGUCCAGAUAUCUUUAGACACAGCCUUAAUGAGUCAAAGGAGGGAAGAGAUACAGCUUUUGAAUUUAUGUUAUAGAAAAAGACUUAAGUCCACAGAGUUGUUCCUCAUUAAGAGAGUUUAUGAUUUGUGAUCUCUGAAGUUGUCGAAAUGUUGUUUGGACACAAAUAUUUAGCAUCAUAAAAUUGUCCCUUAUAUAGCUUAUAAACUUCCAAAUUUUUAGUGAAUAAUUUAACACCUAAAAUAAUUGAUGCCGAUAUUAACAGUUUUCUUCUAUUGGUCAGCUCUUACAGAGUGAAAAACUUUAACCUAAUUAGUAGUGUAUGUUAUUUUAGAAGACAGGUUAAUAAGGGCUUUUACUGCUAUUAUGUGAUUGACUGUUCCUUAACUUACCCCAUAAAGGACAUUUUGUAAGGAUUUUGGCUGUUUUAAAUUUACAAACCUGUUUAUCUGUGUCUAACUAAGUUUUAAUAUGUAGUUCAUUAUGACAGGAUUUGGGGGAAAGCACUUACUGUGUUAUAUUUUUUUCAGUGCUAGAUUUUUAUCUUAUUUGUAUAAUAUUUAUAUUUUUGGUUAAAUGCAUUUUCAGGGUUAAAUAGCAUUCAUUUUCAGGAAAAUUCUCUGUUGUUUCCCAAAUACAGUUAUGCUGUCUGUGUUCUAGUUUUACUGAAAUAGUUAUCCUUAGGGGGAAAGAAUAUUUGGAUAAACUAGAAUAGAGGUAAUUUAACACAUCUACGUAUGAAGGGACUUGAAAUUAUUCAUUGUCACUGAUGAAUAAUGCUAGUUUAUAAAGACAACUUAUAUUUUAAACAGUUUAUCAGCUAUAAGAGUUUUCUUUAUUAGAGGUUUUAUAGUGUUGCUGAGGAUUCAUUGAAGAGUAGAUAGAUACAGUUUCUUAAUGAAGAAGCUUUAAAUGUUUGAAGCAGUUUUGUACAUGUACUUUAUGGGUUUUUUUGAUUAGUGAAUAGAUCAUUAAUCUUUUUCAGUUUCUUCAAAUAAGACCUAACACAUCAGACUUAAAUUUUCUGAUAAGGAUUUUCAAAGGGCAAUAUUUAAUUAAUGUGAAGAUUCAAUUUUUCAUUUAAUGUCAUUUUGAAGUAAAAUAUCAGUUCUCAGCACCACAAACCCCCACUUUUGUUAUUUCAUUAACAUAUAUGAUUUGGCUUAGUUUUACUUUCCUAUUUUCAUGGUUUGAGUCACUUGGAAGAGAAACAUGUAGCAUGUUUCAGAUGUAGUUGCUGAGGCUCAUCCUCUGGUUAAUAGUUUGUUACUGUUUCUAAGUUUCUUAAUUUUUUUUAAAUCCUUUUUUGAUUUUGCUCUUACUCUUUUAUUGUAUAACUUUCAUAGUAAACAAAUAUAUUUAGUAAUAUUGUUAUCCUGUGUUCUUCAGAAUUGUCUUUUUAAUUUUUAUUAUAACAUUGUUGGUUCAUUAUUGAGCUAUUGCUGAGUAGAAAACGGUUUUUCAAUUUUGAUAAAAAUUAAAGAUUGGGGGUUUUUAGCAAAAUAUCUGAAUUUUAUUUAUUUAAUAUUAUUGUAUUUUAUACUUUUAUUUAAUUUCAAACCUAACCUUCUUGACUAGCUGUUAUUUAAACUUAGCCACCAGUUCUAGCAUUUAAAAAAGUAAUUUACAGAUGUCCUAAUUUUUCUGACUUAUAAAUUAUUUUUCAGAAUCAAAAAUUGCUUAAGGUGUUUAAGAAUAUCUUUUAAAUUUAAAGUUAUAAGUCCAUAGAUGAAAUUACCUUUAAGUUUAAAGAUAAUUUGAUGAACAAAUACUUACAUUUCUGUUAGUGGUCAAUUGAUAUUAGGUACUUACUAAGUUUUUAGCUUUGUGUUACACAUUCAAAGUAGGUAAAUUACUUGUGGAAAUUUUUUUUAAUAAUUGAAAUUUUUGUAAAAGCUUUAUGGGCUAAAAUCGUAUUUAUUUGCUAAUAAUGUCUGAUGUCAAACUUGUGAUGUGAUUAGAUAUGUUGAAGCUGGGAGACUGGAGCUUUUUAUAAGCAUAAUAUAGUUUUGUUGCUUGAUUAAAGUUUAGAUACCUAGAUAUUUUCCAGUAUAGCUAGGGAACAUACUUUUUAUGAAUUCACCCUAAACCUGGUUAAAAUUCUUCUGAGAAUUUUGAUAAUUGAACAGUUAAAUCUAAACUAGGAGCUGAAGUGUGUCAUUACAUGUGUCAUUAAUUAUUUAACUUAGAUACAUUAUAGGUUCCCUUUCUAAUCAAAACACCAAUUUUGUCUUUUCUUCUCUCUCCACCUCACUUUUUAAAGAAAAAAAUCCUUAAAUAAUUUUAUCAUGUAGUGAUACAAGCAGAACUUCUGGGUAGGGAGGUUGAACUCAACCAUUUUUUUCCUUUGUGUGUUAGUUGCAUGUGAUUUUCUCAGCUUGCUGCUUCAGUAGCAGCAACAGUGAAUAAACAAGUAUCAUCAGAGCCCUUGUUCUUGCUUCUUACUUUUGGGAACAGGGGUUGGGAGAUUGCUGCUGCUUGUCAGCUGUUGUUCAAAAUAGCAUCAAUAUGCUGUAGUGGUGGCCAAAGCAGCCUGCACCCACUAGCUUUUAUAGACCAGGUGGAAAUGGCCCAACUGUCAGUGUAAUACAUAUAUAGUAUAAUGAAUACGUUCUUUGACAAAAAGGUAUUUUCGUCCCAAAGCAGCUAAAAGAGAACAGUAGAUACUUUUAAUUCUUAGUUUCUUAUUAUUUUUUACUAUUUACUGUGUGGUUUUUAGUUCAUUUAAUUUUUAUAUAGUUAAUUCCAUGUUUGAAUGGAAAACUAUCUUGCUUCCAAAAGUAUAUAUAUGUUUCAUGCUUUUUACUUUUAAGCUGGUAGGCUGAAAUAAAUUAUUCAAUAAUUAGUGCUGAUAACACAAGUUAGAUAAUACAUUGGUAAUGGCAUUAGGGAAAGAAAAGCUGACUGUGGCCACAUAGGCGUGUUUCUUUCACUUUGGGAUCAUAUUCUAAAUUCGUGUUAUCUUUAUUUUAUAGCUCAGUUUAAAAGGCCAAAUUUUUAAUUGAUUUAACUGUAACUAAAAAGAACAAAAAUCUAUUACUACCUGAUGUUGUAUAUAAUUAAAGACAAAGCAGGCUGUAGAUGGAAAUUCAUAAAUCUUUUUCUCACUAUUAAAAUAAUGUCUUCUAUCUGAACUUUAUAUCUGGGAAGUUCAGGUUAUUCUAAAUCUUUUGAAAUAGGACUGUAAUUUACAAUAGCAUGGAGUGUUUUGAUUUUUAAGAAUUUGAAUCUGUAUAGAUUUACAUAACCUAAAUAUCUGUGUAUUUUUCUCCUCUUUUGUAUCUAAAUUCCAAUAGGUUGUAGUUAGGGGGAAGUGAAUAUUGGAUUUCUGUUAAAGUUGUGAUUUCAUUUUUAGAAUUUUUGGUGGAAAACCGCAAAUGACAUUUCUAGUGUGUAAUCCUAAUGCCCCAAUUUAGAGUUCAACAUUUGCAAUAGUAUUCUUUUAAACAGAGGUAACAAUGGGGUGUUUUUUGGUUUGUUUUGGGAUUUUUCCUAAUACUAGAGUAUUAACAUCUUUAAUAUGUUGAUAUAAUUUAACAGAUACCAUUAAUUACUGAUACCUACUCUUAAUCAAAACAGUGAGUUACAUAAUGCUUUAUAUUGAAAACACCUUAUUUUUACUACUAAUUACUGUGUAAAGCACCUGUGGAUCACCUGUACCAGAAUAACCUAGAAUAAAGCAUUUUUCCAGACCUGAUGAAUCAGAAUCUCUGGGGAUGGACUUAAGUAUUUAUGUUUAUAACAAGUGAGUUUUUCCUAGAAACCCCACAUGUGAGAACACUGCCCAAAAUGAAUUGGGAAAGGAUUCUCCACACCAAUAAACCAUCUACAUUUUCUGCCUUUUUUUCCCUCUUUGGUCAUCAUGGGUCUAAUCUCAGUAACUAAUUAUGAAUUUUAUCACUUCUAACAGUAAUUCUAGGAUAAGUCUUGGUAGUUCUUCAGUCAUAUAAGGAAAAUCUAUAUUAUGAGAGCUUUAUUUUAUGCAAAAGUGCCUUGGACCAAAUUUUAAGUCUAUUUGUUUAGAACAGUUAAUAUACUAUUAAACCUAUACUUGAAGCAAACAGAAGGAAUUGAUCACUUAAGAAUUUUUUAAAUUUUCGUUUAGAUGGUAGCUGUUUUUCUUAAGUAUACUUCCAAAUACAUAUUGGAGAAAAUACAGAAAGGAGAGUUUUUCAUAUGCUGCUUAUAGGAGCAUUUGGCAAUAUCCUAAAGUGGAAGAUAUACAUAGGCUCUAACCCAGCAAUCCUAUUCCUAGAUGUUCUAGAUAAACUCAGACAUUCGUGAAAAAGUCUUAUUUAUUUUUACUUCUAAUAGGAAAAAAUUAAAAGUAAUGUAAAUAUUAGGCAGUGAGAGAAUGUAAAAUUGUGACUUAGUCAUGUGAUAAAAAUGUUAUACAGUUGUAAAGUGAGAUCUGUGUGUAUCAUCAGAGAUGAACGCUUUACUUCAGCAAACAGAAGCUAGUUGCACAAGGUCAGAUAUAGGAGUUCCCUGGUGGCUCAGCAGAUUAAGGAUCUUGUGCUGUCACUACUGUGGCGUGGGUUUGAUCCCUAGCCAGGGAACUUCUCCAUGACCCUCAUGCAGGCAAAAAAUAAAAAUAAAAAA